rnacentral:rRNA from 1 species
CCAGACUCCUACGGGAGGCAGCAGCUAAGAAUCUUCCGCAAUGGGCGAAAGCCUGACGGAGCGAUGCCGCGUGAGUGAAGAAGGCGGGAACGUUGUAAAACUCUUUUCUCGGGGAGGAAUAAGGAGGGGAGGAAAUGCCCCUUUGAUGACGCGAACCGAGGAAGAAGCCCCGGCUAAUUACGUGCCAGCAGCCGCGGUAACACGUAAGGGGCAAGCGUUGUUCGGAAUUAUUGGGCGUAAAGGGCGCGUAGGCGGCGAUAUAAGCCUGGUGUGAAAGACUUCAGCUUAACUGGAGAGCCGCGCUGGGAACUAUGUUGCUUGAGUAUAGGAGGGGGAGCUGGAAUUCCAGGUGUAGGGGUGAAAUCUGUAGAUAUCUGGAAGAACACCGGAGGCGAAGGCGAGCUCCUGGCCAUAUACUGACGCUGAGGCGCGAAAGCGUGGGGAGCGAACAGGAUUAGAUACCCUGGUAGUCCACGCUGUAAACGUUGUGCACUAGGUGUCGGACUUACGGGUUCGGUACCGAAGUUAACGCGAUAAGUGCACCGCCUGGGGAGUAUGCUCGCAAGGGUGAAACUCAAAGGAAUUGACGGGGGCCCGCACAAGCGGUGGAGCAUGUGGUUUAAUUCGAUGAUACGCGAGAAACCUUACCAGGGUUUGACAUAUAGCAGACGGUCGUAGAGAUACGGCUUCCCUUCGGGGCUGUUAUACAGGUGCUGCAUGGCUGUCGUCAGCUCGUGCUGUGAAGUGUUGGGUUAAGUCCCGCAACGAGCGCAACCCCUACUGUCUGUUACCAUCAUUAAGUUGGGGACUCAGACGGUACUGCCGGUGACAAACCGGAGGAAGGUGGGGAUGACGUCAAGUCAUCAUGGCCCUUAUGUCCUGGGCUACACACGUGCUACAAUGGCCGGUACAGAGCGCAGCAAAACCGCGAGGUGGAGCAAAUCGCAGAAAGCCGGUCUCAGUACAGAUUGGAGUCUGAAACUCGACUCCAUGAAGCUGGAAUCGCUAGUAAUCGCACAUCAGCAUGGUGCGGUGAAUACGUUCCCGGGCCUUGUACACACCGCCCGUCACACCACCCGAGUUGGGGGUACCCGAAGUCGCUCGUCUAACCGGCAA